rnacentral:lncRNA from 1 species
AUAAAAAGUAAAAUGUACUAAGAGAAAUUGGUUAAGAUAUAUCCAUGACAAUGAUAACCACAUCUUAAGACCAUCCAGCUCUCAGAAAUGUGAAUAUAUUCAAAAAUAAACAUCUGUGUACCCACCACCUUGUUUAUGAAAUAGAACAAUUGCCAACACUAUUGAAGCUCUUGAGUAAAUUUCCCUGAUGACAUCUCCCUCCUUUACGCCUGACGGUUAUCUGCUUUUUUUCUAAUUUUGCCAAAUAUCUACCCUAAAUAAUUCAUAGUUUGGUAUUGCGAUUAACAGUUUUGUACAUUGAGCUCAAGCGCAUGUGUUCUGUGACUGUUUUGACUUUAACGUAGGUGAGAUUCAUCCAUGCCGAUGUGCAUAGCUGCCCCCGUUGUAUCUCACAGUAUACAUAUUCCAUAAUUUAUCAGUUCCCCGGUUGAUGGACAUUUGGGGCUAUUUCCAACGUUUUGCUCUUACAUUGUGCUACAUUCUUAUAGUUGUCUCCCGGAACAGAUGUGUGAGAGUUUCUCUGGGGUACAUACUUAGAAGUGACAUUGCUAAGUCUAGACCAUAGCCUGACAAACACUGCCAUUCCCCUCCUCCCCGCCAAUGAAUAUCCCGAGGAAACAUGAGUCCUGUUCUUGCUUAAUCUACAGACCAGACUUAGUACUGUAUCUACAUUCAGGGCCUUCAGAGAGAAGAACAGCAAGAAGAGAAGAAGGUUGUGGUGCUCCCCAGCCCACAGGAGAUGACUUUCCUCCAUAACCUUGGGGAACCAAAGGCAGGCAGUGGUUGAUGCAAGAUGAAGCACUUCUCUUGGCUCCAUUGAGCAUGGGGGUGAGGUGGGGCUCCACUUGACUGGAGACUAGGGUCUCAGGCUUUAGCUUGUUUGAUGUCACAGAAUCCACUGUGAGGUCACUCCUGUGCUGUGAAAGAAGAAAACAGCAAUUCAUUCUGAAAAAGUAUGGUUUUAUUUAUUUAAAAUGAGGGGAAGCUAAGCUGAAAUCAGCUUUGUCUCAUGCUCUGGCUCUUCUCCUGAUGGGCUUUAGAAAAAGUCAUUGUCUCCUUGAUCUCAGAUAUGAUGGCAGCAGUGAUCGCCAGCCCUUCCCCACCCUCUGUUGUCUGCAUGAUCAGUUCUCUGCUGCUUUCCUCCACAGCUUUAGACCUGAUGAUGCCCACCUCUGUAUCACCUGAAGGACAGCAGGCUUUGAGGUUCUUUAAUAAAGAACCGAUCCUGCUGGGUCUCUGACUUGCUUUGAACCCAAAUUACUGUCAUUGCAAUAGGGUCAGCUUUGAGCUUUCAGCAAAGAGCCAGUCCUGCUGAGUCUCUUAUUUUCAGAACCUGGGGCCACUGUGUGGUAGUGUGGGCUUUGAGAUUCUUUAGCAAUGAGCCAAAACUGCUGGAUCUCUUACUUGCAGAGCCUGGAACUACUGUGUAUGCAAUAUGGUAGGCUUUAAAAUUUAUUUAAAAAAAGAGAGAGCCAAUUGUGUGGUGCUUUUACUUGAAGCCCUGGAAAAAAGAGGCAGAGCCAUAAGCAAUGACGGCGCUACAAGGACGACGAGGUCCUUGUGUCCUGUAAACUUCUCUCCACAUGUUGGCUGGUUCUGAUGGUGUUGACAUGACCUGGGGCCUCCGGGAGCUGGAGGCAAAGCCCCCUGUGCUGGGCCCCGGCUCCGCUGUGCUCCUUGCCCUCCUCUCGUGCUGCCCUGGCUCAGGAAAGUGCAAUAUUCGCACAACGUGUUUCUCUCCCAUUGUGAAUCAGCAAAGUUCCUAACAGGCCUGGCAGGUGACUUGUUUCCUUUACUCAGAUUCAGCUACACAACCCAGGAAAGUGGCUCAGGUUAAGUUCCAGGAUCUAACGUCAGAAUUUAAUGAAUAAUAAGGAAAAUGGAGCUCUUUUUCCCCAGGAAGUUCUCAGUGAUGGGGCCAACUGAGCCAGUCAUUGCCCUGAUGGGGCCGAAAGCUACACUCUCCUGUCACCUCAGACCCCCGCUGGAUGCCAAUCCAUGGAGUGAGUGGACUCAAGAUCGCCCCUUAGCUAAGACAGCUUUUAUGUCUGAUCAUCAGGGAACACAAUUCAGAAGGAGGACUGAGUUCUUGAAGAACGUCACCAUGGGGAGUGUUCAUCUCGGGCUGCAAGAUACACCCUUCCGGUGAAGGGCAGCACAGAUGUAACUUUGAGGAUUUGUCCAGUCACAGCAAUGUUACUUCCAAGUGUAUGUGGCAGGUGAAAUUUCGUGCCUUCCGGAUGGAGCAGGGAAAAGAAUUAACACAGACAGACUCACACGAAGUCACCUCUGAGAAGACAACAUUCAUUCCUUAUUUUGUAACUAAGAAGAAAAUAAACAAAAAAGAGUUGGGAAGAAGUCCAUGCUCUACUAUUUUUUAGAAAUA